rnacentral:rRNA from 1 species
GGCGUGCUUAACACAUGCAAGUCGAACGAAGCACUUAAGUUUGAUUCUUCGGAUGAAGACUUUUGUGACUGAGUGGCGGACGGGUGAGUAACGCGUGGGUAACCUGCCUCAUACAGGGGGAUAACAGUUAGAAAUGGCUGCUAAUACCGCAUAAGACCACAGCACCGCGUGGUGCAGGGGUAAAAACUCCGGUGGUAUGAGAUGGACCCGCGUCUGAUUAGCUAGUUGGUGGGGUAACGGCCUACCAAGGCGACGAUCAGUAGCCGACCUGAGAGGGUGACCGGCCACAUUGGGACUGAGACACGGCCCAAACUCCUACGGGAGGCAGCAGUGGGGAAUAUUGCACAAUGGGGGAAACCCUGAUGCAGCGACGCCGCGUGAAGGAUGAAGUAUUUCGGUAUGUAAACUUCUAUCAGCAGGGGAAGAAAAUGACGGUACCUGACUAAGAAGCCCCGGCUAACUACGUGCCAGCAGCCGCGGUAAUACGUAGGGGGCAAGCGUUAUCCGGAUUUACUGGGUGUAAAGGGAGCGUAGACGGUAUGGCAAGUCUGAUGUGAAAGGCCAGGGCUCAACCCUGGGACUGCAUUGGAAACUGUCGAACUAGAGUGUCGGAGAGGCAAGUGGAAUUCCUAGUGUAGCGGUGAAAUGCGUAGAUAUUAGGAGGAACACCAGUGGCGAAGGCGGCUUGCUGGACGAUGACUGACGUUGAGGCUCGAAAGCGUGGGGAGCAAACAGGAUUAGAUACCCUGGUAGUCCACGCUGUAAACGA